GAGAGGGUAAAAAAGGUUUGAAGAUUGAUUGCGUGUAUUAAAGAAUCUGUUUUCCAUGAGUGAAACCGUGUUUCACAUUCAUUUAUUUAGGUUCCGUAUAGUACAAAGUAAAAUAUGUUAUUAAUGAGUAUUAAAUGAAAAUAAAGGUAGUGACAUCCGAAAGCUACUUUAUAAGUGCAAUGUUUCAACCGAAAAAACUACUGUAGUACUACUCUCUUUCAUCCAGA
rnacentral:lncRNA from 1 species